CCUACGGGAGGCAGCAGUCGGGAAUAUUGCGCAAUGGAGGAAACUCUGACGCAGUGAAGCCGCGUGCAGGAAGAAGGCUUUCGGAUUGUAAACUGCUUUAGACAGGGAAGAAAAAAGACAGUACCUGUAGAAUAAGCUCCGGCUAACUACGUGACAGCAGCCGCGGUAAUACGUAGGGAGCAAGCGUUAUCCGGAGUUAUUGGGUGUAAAGGGUGCGUAGACGGAGAAGCAAGUUAGUUGUGAAAUCCCUCGGCUUAACCUAGGAACUGCAACUAAAACUAGUUCCCUUGAGUACUGGAAAGGUAAGUGGAAUUCCUGGUGUAGCGGUGAAAUGCAUAGAUAUCACGAAGAACUCCGAUUGCGAAGGCAGCUUACUAGACUGCCACUGACAUUGAUGCUCGAAAGUGUGGGUAUCAAACAGGAUUAGAUACCCGUGUAGUC
rnacentral:rRNA from 1 species